rnacentral:misc_RNA from 1 species
AACGGUCUAUACCUGCGGUACCUGCGGAGGGAUCAUUACCGAGUCCAGGGCUCCCCGCGAGCCCUCACUCCCACCCGUGUCUACCGUUACCGUGUUGCUUUGGCGGGCCCACUGGCGCCUGUCGGCCCGGUCGCCGGGGGGCUUGUCCCCCGGGCCCGCGCCCGCCGAAGCGCCCCCGAACCCUGUGUGAAUAGUGAGUCUGAGUCCCGAUUGAAUCGUUAAAACUUUUAACAAUGGAUC